rnacentral:hammerhead_ribozyme from 1 species
AUCCAGCUGACGAGUCUUAAAUAGAAUGGAACUCGUGUCUUGGAU